rnacentral:rRNA from 1 species
CCAAGGAGUCUAACAUGUGCGCGAGUCGUCGAGUCUGUCACGAAACUCGCGAGGCGUAAUGAAAGUGAAACGGCCCCGAUGAGGGUGUUCCGUGAGGGGUGAUCUCGUCUCGAAUAGAGCGAGCGCAACCCCUGGGCGUUCGGAGUCGCGAGGCGGCGGGGAUUCGUUUCCGUCCGUCGAGUCGACCGAACGAACCGAGAGCGUACACGUUGGGACCCGAAAGAUGGUGACCUAUGCCUGGCCAGGACGAAGCCAGGGGAAACCCUGGUGGAGGUCCGCAGCGAUUCUGACGUGCAAAUCGAUCGUCGGAGUUGGGUAUAGGGGCGAAAGACUAAUCGAACCAUCUAGUAUCAGGAUAGCUGGUGCUCGCAAAGAGAACAAACGGAGUUUCAUCCGGUAAAGCGAAUGAUUAGAGGCCUUGGGGUCGAAACGACCUCAACCUAUUCUCAAACUUUCAAUGGGUGAGAAGCCCGGCCUAGAUACCUUGAGUUGAGGCCGCGGCAAUCUGAAUUUAAGAAUCUGAGCGCCCAGUGGGCCAUUUUUGGUAAGCAGAACUGGCGCUGUGGGAUGAACCAAACGCUCGGUUAAGGCGCCUAAACGACGCACAUUUCGGAUCCCACGAAAAGGAGUUGGUUGCUAAAGACAGCAGGACGGUGGCCAUGGAGGUCGGAAUCCGCUCAGGAGUGUGUAACAACUCACCUGCCGAAGCAACUAGCCCUUAAAAUGGGAGGCGCUAUAGCGUCGUGCCUAUACCGAGCCGUCGGUCGGCAGCGAGAAUAACGCCGUGUAACGCUCGUAGAGAGCGACGGCGCGGAGGCCCCGACGAGUAGGGGGGUCGCGACGGUGAGCGUUGAAGGGUUGUGGGCGCGAGCCUGCCUGGAGCCGCCGUCGGUGCAGAUCUUGGUGGUAGUAGCAAAUACUCC